rnacentral:rRNA from 1 species
UGCUACAAUGGCCGGUACAAAGAGAAGCGAGGCUGUGAAGCGGAGCAAAUCUCAAAAACCGGUCCCAGUUCGGAUUGUAGGCUGCAACUCGCCUACAUGAAGUCGGAGUUGCUAGUAAUCGCGGAUCAGAAUGCCGCGGUGAAUGCGUUCCCGGGUCUUGUACACACCGCCCGUCACACCAUGGAAGUUGGGGGCGCCCGAAGUUGCCUAAGAAAUAAGGUACCUAAGGCGAAACCAAUGACUGGGGUGAAGUCGUAACAAGGUACC